CACGUGGCCCCGGCGGGCGGCUGACCCGGCGAGGCCGGCGCGCGGGCGGGUGUUUUCGCGCUCUUGCUGCUCUGUUUCCCUGUUCGUGACGGUCUUCUUCCUCUUUCCCGUCCUCCUUUCCUGUUUUUUACUUUAAAACAGCUGGGGAAAAUACGAAUCGUAAGAAGCACCCACAUUCUCAUCAGCUGGGAGGACUUGUUUCCGUGGAAGUUAUUCUUGGACUUUCUCCUUUUAUUUGGUGCAUCCAGCCCGGCUUAGAACACAGCGCACAUGGCCGUUGUUUUCUUUGUGACACUUUACCCUCAUUUUCAUUUUAUUUUAGAACUUUUUCUACUUGGUCAUUUUUCUGGAGUAGUCGUCAAGCCCUAAAAAAGCGAGUAAGGAAACUCUGGGACAGAUCAUUUCAGAGUCGUCAAGCCCGGCGUCAGUUUGGUGAUGGUUUCUGGUUGUCCUCAGGGUUAUGAAAAUGAUCACUUUCCUCCAUCUUCACAGCACUCGAUAUUAUCAACCUUUAAAAAUGUGGGCCUAACAGAUGGCCAACAAACACAUGAAAAAAUGCUCAACAUCGCUGGUU